rnacentral:rRNA from 1 species
GUAGGGAAUAUUGGGCAAUGGUCGGAAGACUGACCCAGCCAUGCCGCGUGCAGGAAGACGGCCCUCUGGGUUGUAAACUGCUUUUAUCUGGGAAGAAAAAGGCCAUGCGUGGCAAAUUGCCGGUACCAGAUGAAUAAGCACCGGCUAACUCCGUGCCAGCAGCCGCGGUAAUACGGAGGGUGCGAGCGUUGUCCGGAUUUAUUGGGUUUAAAGGGUGCGUAGGCGGCUGAUUAAGUCAGCGGUGAAAGACUUCGGCUUAACCGGAGCAGUGCCGUUGAUACUGGUUGGCUUGAGUGUCGGAGGGGUACAUGGAAUUGAUGGUGUAGCGGUGAAAUGCAUAGAUACCAUCAGGAACACCGAUAGCGAAGGCAUUGUACUGGCCGACAACUGACGCUGAUGCACGAAAGCGUGGGGAUCAAACAGGAUUAGAAACCCCUGUAGUCC